CUCUCUCUCUAUGCAAAAAAUAAAUAAAUUUUUGAGAUAUAAUUUAUAUAUAUUGAAAUGCUCAAGUCUUACGUGUACCAUUCAAUUAGUUUUAGGAAGUCAUAUCAAGACAGAAUAUUCCCAUCACCUCAGAAGCUUCCUUCAUGACCUUCCCAAUCAGCAACCCCUCUCCAAGCAAUUACUGAUCUGGUUUCCAUCACCAUAGGUAUUGUCCUCAUCCAUUUGGUUGAAGCUUGCUCACGACUCCCACAUCUUCAUUCCAGUCUGUGUGAAGGGAUAAAAAACAAGAGCCUUGGAGAAUGGGAGAGAUUCUCUGUUGGAAACCAUCCUGGGGUGUGCGGUCCAGCUAUGCCACCUAAACAAGCUUCUCCUUGGAGAGAUAAGGGCCUGAAGAUUAUGAGCAUCUGCUCCUUCUCUCUGUGUAAGUUUGCCCCCAAUAAACCCUAUUUUAUAUCUGCACUACGAGACACUACAUAUAUAAGUGCUGAAUCCUGAUAUUGUGGGUUGUGGUUAAGAAAAAAAAGGUGAAAAUCUCCAGAUAGUGAGUCUAACUGAUGCCUAGUGUCCAAGUGACAGAAUUAUUAAUGCUUCAUCCAAAUAUUUAUGCCUAGCUUACUCUGCUAAAGAUAGUUAUCUUUAAGAUAAUGGAGAUAAGUAUCUUUAAGAUAAUGGAGGAUCAAAUAAAAAUUAGCUCUUAUCCUUUAGGCCAGUUCUACAAAUUGCAAAUAUUGAGCAAUUACUAACAUUUUGCCACGUUUGCUUCAUCGCUCUUCAUGUGUAUGUGUUUGUUUUUCUGAAUCAUUUGAGAGUUAUAGACACAAUUUUCUUUUACCUCCAAAUGCUUCAGUGUGCAUUUCCUAAGAAUAAGGACAUUCUCCUAAAUGAGCACAGUAAAAGAUCUAAUUAAAGAAAUUUAACAUUGAUACAGUACUGUUAUCUACUAAACAGUCUCUACCGAAAUUUUGCCAAGCAUCCUGACAAAGUUUUCUAUGCCAAUCUCUCCCCACCAUCACUUCUUCCCCACUCCCCACCCCCAUCCAGGAUCUAGUCCAGGAUUACACGUUAUAUUUAGUUGUCAUGUUUGCCAAAAAUUAAACAAAAGUUUUAGAUCCUGCACUGUCUCCUACAGCCUUUGGACUCCUCUCUUUCCUGCUGUUGUUCUUGAAAUGCUGUACUUUGGCCAUUUGUUUUCCUUUCAUGGAGGUGGUGGGCAAUGACCUUAGAAAUUGUAACCACACAGCCAGAUCAGGCCUUGAGAUAGAGCCAGAAUUUAAUCAGAUUUUAUCUUACUGUCUAUAUAAAGUGUGGCUCCCUGAGAUAGGAAACACAGGAAAAGAAUUCCAUGAAGUCCAAAUGUCCUUAGACUUGCCAGAAGAUAUUUAAAUGUCUAAAGAACCAAAGAAAUGCAAAAUGCAAUAGACUUUCCCAGGUGGAUUGGAGAAUUAGGUGAAUGUAACUUGACUACCUCCUUCUUUAUAUUCUGGAAAGAGGACUGUGCAAACAGGCUCAGACUGGCAGUUGGGGCCAUGAGAAGAACUGCCCUGGAGCCUGUGGGUCCAACCCUCAAACUUCAGCCAGUACCUACAGUCCAUGAACGACUUUGUCAAAAUUUGCAGGGAAAGGGGGCCGGCCCCUUGGCUGAGUGGCAAAAUUUGC